rnacentral:sRNA from 1 species
UGAAUUGAACUGAACUGAACUAAUGUCCUAUUCAGGCAGAAGCCCACAGUCAACUUCUUUGAGAGUGUAAGAAUCUUUCUAGAGACAGUAUCUUUCUGAGGUUGUAGAGAAUAGAGCACACUGUGAACCAAGAAAUUUGCCAGCCAUAUCAGUAAACAAAUGAUGCUGCAGGCAUCAAGUCAUAAGGUCUCACGAAUUCCGCU